UCGAUGGUUGGUUUAGUUUAUACAGUCUUCAAACAUAUGUUUGCCUUUGUGCAGAAAAUUGUGCAAUUACUAGCAAUUAAGCAGUUCUCUACGAAUUUCGGGCAAAAAACCCACAAAAAUGAGCAAAAGAUCCAUUCCCCACUCCAGUGAAGAGACAGAUAGUGAUUGUGGCGGUGGCAAUAGUGACUGUGAAGAUGCCAAGGUAGAUUUUAUUUGUGCUUUACGUAAAGAUGAUUAUGCCCAAGUAGCUCGUUUGUUGAGUAAAGUAACACCAGCCAGUGCAUAUAAACUGGUUAAUUGCAAAGAUUUCAAUUCGGGGGCGGACAGUCCUCUGCAUAUUUCAGUUAAAUCGUUAAUUAAAAACAAAAAUGACGAAAAACAUGGAAAUACCCAGGCAUCCCGAGAUAUUAUUGAGUUACUCAUCCGAAACAAGGCAAAUGUUAAUUAUAGCAACGCUAAAAAAAUAAGCGCUUUAGAACUAGUUCGAAAGAAAUUACCCGAAGAUAUCGAGCUCCAAAAGUUAUUUUCCCCGGACGAUUCGCUAAAUGUUGCAAGUGGUAGCGAUACGUCCAAACGAUCGUCUGCAGUCUCAGAUUUUAUAAAUGCUGAUAGUGAAAAGCACAAAAAACUGAAACGGCCUCUUGAGACUUAUGCAUCGUCCGGACUAAAGUUUUCGUUGCAUGGCACAAUUUUUCAGCUUCAAUUGCUCAUGCUCUACACGCACCGAGGCGUCGCAAAAUUCCAAAUUUUCGAUUUGGCCACUGAAAUGGACCAGGCUGAUAAAUUCGAUGACAUCGUGGUACGCUACAAGAGCAAAUCGGAUAAUAAUUGGCACUGGAGCUUCCUGCAGGCCAAACACAAAAACAAUCCUCACAUGGACCGCGUCGCUUUAAAAGACUUCAUCGCCAUCGACAGUGGCAACUUUUCAAUUACUAAAUAUUUCAUAUCUUUUUGUAAAAUUGUGGCAAAUCCCACAUUUAAAGAUGGAAAAUUAGAGGAUUUCCUGCUAUGCACGAACACCAGCCUUGAUUUGUCCAAGCACAAACGGAAGCAAGAUGCAUCGUUAAGCGCUAGGGAGAAAAAGUACAACGACUUUGUGGGCAAAUGGGAAAAACACCUGAUGUGCUCCAGAUUGUCGGAUCAAUGCAUUCUGUUUUGCCCCAAUAAUACAUCGGAUGCUCAAGUUUACCGGUUCAAUAGGAGCUCGCACGACGACGUUUCCACCCUGAUGAAGUCUGCCUUCAUAGAAAACUGCAGGAGUUGCGUGCUUCUAACUGGCCUCCAACAUAUCCAAGGCGCUUUGCAGACUUUACAACUGCAGCCCGUGCUCAAUGAGGCUCUGGCGUUUAAAAGUGUCGCUAGAGAGAACCACAAAACUGUUAUCGUAUCUAAUGCCAAAGAAAUGUUAAGGUUCUCGGAAACUUUGAAAGACUUAUGCAACUUUAACAGUUUGAAAAACGCUCUGCAAGCAUUUCAACACCAUAAGGGCCAGAGCGAUCAACUGAAGAGCGCUGUUUAUGCAGCAAUUGAUGGGGUGAAACAGGAAAUAGCAGUUGCUGCCGAUAAUUGCAACAAGUUUGUGGAUUCACUGAAGGACAAUUCGAGCCCAACAUACGCUAAAGUAAACGAGGACGUGAAGAAACUGAGGAAGCUGGCCGAUUUUGCCACGCUUCUGCGAUCAGACAUCCUGAAGUGCACUAAAGUGGAAGACUUAAAGUCUAAAUUGGAAAAUGGCAUUGACCAAUGGAAAUCCCUCGGCAUCUGUGUGCCUCCAAUGUUAUUCGCACUGGCUGGCAAAGUUGCCGGUUUGCAGCUUGCAGACGGACAAUCUCGAUGCCAAAAUAGCGUUGAGGCGCUGCUCGGUCAAAUGGUGAUGAUCGAAAUGAUUUGCAUUCCAUCGCGGUUCGACAAACACCUGCAGGAGUUUUUGGGGAAAUUUCGCUUGAUUGUGAACUACCCGGACGUUGCCCAGCUGAAUAUUAUUCUGAAGACGGAGUUCGGCGAGCAGUUUUGUUUGCUCGAUGCGAAUUUGCUGAGCGACUCAUUUGAACGGCACAUUCUAGAAUGGUUUAUGGAAUACAGGAAUGGAAGGAGCACGUUGCUGUCAAGCGAUCAGGGGCAAGCGUUUUACCAGGCACUGCAGGAGCGCCUAGUUUCAUUGAUGACGUCGGGCUUAAACAAGGCAUACUUGGAUAAAUUGCACAGCUACAGCAUCAGCUUCCUAGAGACUAGCGACUCGUUCAAAAACUUCCUACUAUCAGACAAGAGGAUUCUGUCGAUUUCCGCUGGCUCCACCCGACUGAGCACCAUGAAGGUCCUGCAGGCGGUGAAGGAAAGUGGCAUCGACUGUUUAGCUUAUCAGGAUAGCUUCAUUUGUGUGCGCCUCAAGAGCCUGUUCAGGACUCAAGUGCGGAAAAUGGUCUGCGACGCAUUCAGCAUCGAAAACAAGUUCUUCCUGGCCAUCGUUGAGUGUCAGCGGGGCAGCUUGAGCGACUUGGGAUUCCGGUAUGCAUGCGAAGGUCUUCUGAGUAGCCUGAAGCUACAGCAGAAGAAGAUUAUUUUCAUCUCAGCGGAUGCAUCCGAUUUUGUCUGGAGGGCGUUAAGUGCGCUCACCGCCUGGGAAAUACGCAAAUUCGCAGACGAAACUGAGUUUAGUCACUUGAGUAAAACCUCGCAAACAGCCCUUUUGGCCGCCCCCGUACUUUUGCAGAGUGAAACUGUUGCUUUGGGCCAUCUUCUCGACAUCGAGUCAGCUGCUGCUGUUGUGGACGAGCAGGCUUUGCAGCAUCUGGUCGAACAAAGACGAAUCGCAAUUGGCGACGCUAAAGCGUUUUCUUCCUCUGGCUACGAUGCUCAGUGCUACAUCGAGCGCUGCUUGCACCAACAGCAGCUCACCACUGAAGUAUUCAGCGUGGAGGAUGCAGUCUUCCUAGUCACAGGAAUUACCAAAGAGGCGUUUAGCAAACUGGGGGUCAGUAAAGCAUCGUCCGAUUUUCAACUGGGAAAUCAGUAUGCUUCCGGCAGCAUUAUAUGUGCGCCAUCGGCCCAGCCGGGCGAAGAAGGGAUGUUCAACGAUCUCGUGCGCCAUAAGCGUCCACAUGUGGAAGUCAUCUGGAUUGAGCGCCACGAGACGGGUUUUUACUGGAAAUCCCAUACGGGAAGAGCCGCAGACAUCAACCGCUCCGUAGCCAACUGCAUGGAGCUGCCCAGAAAAAAUGAGCAAACCUUCGCCAGUCUUAACUUAAAACAGAAGACCGUCAUUGUCGCUAACGAGCCAGGGAUGGGCAAAUCCACAUACUUAACGAGCUUAAGCCGAAAAAUGAAAGCGGCCAAUAGAGACUUGUGGAUAGCGAGGAUCAACUUGAACGAUCACGCCUUUCAACGGCAACGGCUGAGCGACUUAGACAGCAGAAAGUCUACUAAAAGCUUAAACGAGCUUCCAGCCGUUGUGGACUCGGACUUUGUCUACGACUUGGCCCUCUGGGCAGAUGUGGGGCACCCAUUAGAGAGGUUCCAAAGAAAACUAUUCAAGCUGGGAAUAGACGGGCUUAACCGCGCGGUUACUCCGAAAAUUGUGAUUUUCUUCGACGGCUUUGACGAGGUUUGCCCCACUUACCAGCAACAUGUUAUUAAAAUUUUGCGAAUGCUCGAGCAAAGCGCAGUUGCACAAGUUUGGAUCACCACUCGCAUACAGCAGAAAGUGUUUCUCGAGGAAACACUAGUACGACCUGCCCACGUGUUAAGCAACUUGACCAAAGACGACCAAACGGGGUUUUUGAGCAAAUUCUGGCCGCUAAAACUCGCUUCCAAUGUAAAGGAUUUGCUGCAGAUGGAAGAAAGCACCACGCUGCAGCUGUAUUUGCAGACAAUCGCCGGCAAUAUUUUGAAACACGUCGAGGACGACGAAGGCGUGUUCAAUAAAAUGAUGCAAGCCAGUCCGGACGAGUUGAAGCGUUCUUCCAUCGGCGAUGUGGAAGAGUUGCAUUUUAGGCCGGUUGCAGCGUUCUUUGUGGAUCAAUGGAACUGGGCAAUUCGCGACUCGCAGAAAUCCUUUAUCGAUAUCCCCCUGCAGCUGAACAUGUUGGGGCAAGUAGUGAUUGAUCAGAACUUCCAGUUGCCGGCAAAAAUCGGAUUAACCAGUCUGUUCGAAAUGUUCGUGCAAAGCAAAAUUAACAUCUACUUUUACGGCAAAGGCGUUUUCGUGAGUAGCGUUUUGUCAGACGAAAUCAGUGAAGAUCAGUCGAAGGGUCUACGUCAAGACCUCUCGAUUCUAGCGCUAAAUGUUUUGUUCCCCGAUGGAAAUUGGCCACGACCCGUUCGUACCCCUUCGCUUCUGGCUCGGGCAGGUUUGUUAAUACUUUACUCGGACUCACAUUUUCAGUUUAUUCAUCGAAGCUUCGCAGACUAUUUCGUAGCGGAUUUACUCGCGAAGAAACUGAAGGUGGAAGAGUUCCAAUCUUUGCUGUUGAAAACGAUCUUCAUAGACGACGGGUUCUACCUUAUAACUGCGUUUUUGAAUGAAAUGCUCAUUCAGUAUCCUAAUCAAGAUGUUGAGCUUUCGAAGCCCUUACUGGAAGAGAUUUUGCAGCCGACUUCCAGGGACACUUUCCUGCAUAAGAUCGUGCUUAUGGGUUAUCCCAAUAUCAUCAAGUUCUUUGUUGAUAAAAUGCUGGUUUACCCGCACAUAUGUGACGCUCUGUUGUGCAAAGCCGGAACGUACGGCAGCAUUCCUCUAUAUACGACUAUUUACAAUCCUGGCCAACAUCAACAAAAAUUGAAUUAUUCUGGAAACUCCAAGUUUCGGACUGUAGAAACGUUUUUAGGCUCGCUUCGAAAUGAGCAUGUCACGAAAAUCCUGACGCAUUUUCAUAAGGAAAUGUUGAUCGUGCUUGAUGGCCAAGUAAGGGAAGUGACGAUGCUGCAAGUAGCGCUAUUAAACAGAGACUUUGGCAAAAAUGAUGCGGUUGUGAAAACUUUGGUUAAACAAGUGGUAAAUCGAGGCUUACUGAAAGACGUUUUCGGUAAAAACGGUUUUGCAAAGGACGGCACUUUAUUCCACUUUUGCAGUAGGACUAAGGGGGCUGAGUUUAUGAAGUUGCUUCAGAUCGUGACUGAUGUGUCUGUGGCGCAGAACAAUCACUUAGAGAGUUUACAAGAAGUGAUGGAGUUGUUGCCAUUGAAAGAUUCUUCGGGCAGAACUCCUUUGCAUUGGUUAGCGUUUAAGUUAACCAUGGCUGGCACUUUAUCGCAAUUUCUUGAUUGGUUGCUACUCUAUACGCAAGAUGCUAAAAUGAACACUAUUCUAGACUAUUUAGAAUGCGGCGACAAACAAGGUUUGACUCCAGUUGAAAUCAGUGUGUAUCGCAACAACACUGGAGCCAUCAACAUUUUCCUAGAAUUCAUGAAAAAACACUUUCCCAGCAAGUAUUGUGGAUUGUUCACAAGUCCCUGUCACCAAUCCCUCUUGAAUAAGUCGAUUGCUCAAGGAAAGACUGAGAGUGUGACAACAUUGAUUGAAUGCUGGUUCAAACGGCUCACGUUUAUUGAAUUCACGAAUCAUCUGCUUACGCCUUUCAGUGGCACUGAUCGAAGAACAUCGUUGGCUUUAGCGGCGGCAAGAAAGUUCCAUGCGACUGUUCAAGCCGUUUUCAGUUGGCUGGAAGAACAUCUUGAUAAAGCCGAUUUUAACAUUUGCCUUCUGGAAUUUUUGCCACAUAGAGACCAUAGAGGUCGGAAUAUAUUACAUGAGAGUGUUUACUGGAAAUGCAGUAAGGCUGUAGACGUUUUGUUAAAUUUGAUUGAGUCGAAAUGCGAUUUCAAGAUUCGGCUAAGUGUGCUAUUUGCGGCUGACCAAGACGGCAACCUGCCAUUCGACUUUUCGAAAGAUUUAGAUCACGAUACAUACCAGAAGCUGUUUCAGAUUUAUGAAAUUGUAAUAGCGCAAAUUUGCUCUGAUGAUUUGUCGUUAUUAAGCAAUUAUUUUACUUUCAAAAACGUAACUUUUAUAGAGAAAUUUUUGGCCGCAAAUUACACUCACAAGGUGGUUUUGCCAGAACUAUUAGAACAAAUUAAAUUGGGAGCACUACCCAUAGGCGACUAGAGUAGUGCCCAUGCACUAACUAUUUAGGCCCAUUAAUUUCAAAUAUAUUUUAUGGUUGCAAAUAUUUUCAAGUGGUUGGCAUUAACGCGAAUAUCAAUUUUGGCUAAGUUAUUGUAUAARUURURUUAGUAUAACGUUGUAUAAAUAAGUUAGUUAAUAUGUAUUUAUUUACGAGAUGAGGGCUUGCWWUUUUAAUAUGCUUUGAACGAUAGUUCUUCAARUGGUAACCAGUCUGGUUGAAAUGUUCUGCGGAUUUCUGGUGUGCGAUUAAUUGGAUCMAUUCYGCAUAUUCUUCAUAAACACAGACUUUUGCGAAACUUUCAGCAUCUUUAGCACCAGGUGUCUUCUAAACAUAGUAAAAAAUUCAACUUGCUGCUUGCUUUAGUUGGGAAGAUACGAUUUUUCAAGGGAAGAAGCGCAGUUGGGUGAAAGUCCAUACCAGCAAUGUGACAACCUCUAAAAUGUUUACAAAUUUGGGCACAACGUCGACGAUUUAAUACUGUUG